ACCCUGAUCCAGCAAUGCCGCGUGUGUGAAGAAGGCCUUCGGGUUGUAAAGCACUUUUGUCCGGAAAGAAAACCAUCGCCCUAAUAUGGUGGUGGGAUGACGGUACCGGAAGAAUAAGCACCGGCUAACUACGUGCCAGCAGCCGCGGUAAUACGUAGGGUGCGAGCGUUAAUCGGAAUUACUGGGCGUAAAGCGUGCGCAGGCGGUCUGUUAAGACCGAUGUGAAAUCCCCGGGCUUAACCUGGGAACUGCAUUGGUGACUGGCAGGCUUUGAGUGUGGCAGAGGGGGGUAGAAUUCCACGUGUAGCAGUGAAAUGCGUAGAGAUGUGGAGGAAUACCGAUGGCGAAGGCAGCCCCCUGGGCCAACACUGACGCUCAUGCACGAAAGCGUGGGGAGCAAACAGGAUUAGAUACCCUGGUAGUCCACGCCCUAAACGAUGUCAACUAGUUGUUGGGGAUUCAUUUCCUUAGUAACGUAGCUAACGCGUGAAGUUGACCGCCUGGGGAGUACGGUCGCAAGAUUAAAACUCAAAGGAAUUGACGGGGACCCGCACAAGCGGUGGAUGAUGUGGAUUAAUUCGAUGCAACGCGAAAAACCUUACCUACCCUUGACAUGGUCGGAAUCCCGCUGA
rnacentral:rRNA from 4 species